ACCCUUACUACAGCAUGAAUAUAUAUAGCACAACUGAUGCAAAAUGGACCUGGUUAACCGAGCAAUCCGGCGGAUGGCGAGGCACAACGAGAUCACUCAGUACUACUUCUUUGAUGAUACCCGUCGCCUGUUGGAACUCGCCCAUGGAUCGAUCACAUCAAAUCAGAACGAACACGCACACACAAAAUCUUAUGGACAAGGGCCCUUGUCGUGCCCUAAUUUUUCCUCUUUUUAUUUCUCCUUUUUCUCUCAACUCACGGUACAAAAAUUUUGCACGACCUGAUGCAUAUAUAUGCAGAGCAGCCGCCGACAUGUACAGCCUAAACCUAUUCGGAGCCCAACUCCAACUCUACUAGGACUCACAUACACAACUGGCAAUACCUCCUCCGGUACAACUAUGACCAGAGCUCAGCCUUUAAACAUCACGUGUACAUGACCAAUCCCUAUACUAAUCCUAGCCGGACUAAUGCAAAGCUAAUACAUGUUUUGAACCUCUAAAUAAAAACUAACUAAUCUACUACUAGACAAGAUUAUCACUAACAUCGCCUUGUAUGCCCGAACCACCGAAACCUGAAUCUCUAAUGUGUANN
rnacentral:lncRNA from 1 species